rnacentral:rRNA from 1 species
GAUGAACGCUAGCUACAGGCUUAACACAUGCAAGUCGAGGGGCAUCAGGAAGAAAGCUUGCUUUCUUUGCUGGCGACCGGCGCACGGGUGAGUAACACGUAUCCAACCUGCCCUUUACUCGGGGAUAGCCUUUCGAAAGAAAGAUUAAUACCCGAUAGCAUAAUGAUUCCGCAUGGUUUCAUUAUUAAAGGAUUUCGGUAAAGGAUGGGGAUGCGUUCCAUUAGGUUGUUGGUGAGGUAACGGCUCACCAAGCCUUCGAUGGAUAGGGGUUCUGAGAGGAAGGUCCCCCACAUUGGAACUGAGACACGGUCCAAACUCCUACGGGAGGCAGCAGUGAGGAAUAUUGGUCAAUGGGCGUUAGCCUGAACCAGCCAAGUAGCGUGAAGGAUGAAGGCUCUAUGGGUCGUAAACUUCUUUUAUAUAAGAAUAAAGUGCAGUAUGUAUACUGUUUUGUAUGUAUUAUAUGAAUAAGGAUCGGCUAACUCCGUGCCAGCAGCCGCGGUAAUACGGAGGAUCCGAGCGUUAUCCGGAUUUAUUGGGUUUAAAGGGAGCGUAGGUGGACUGGUAAGUCAGUUGUGAAAGUUUGCGGCUCAACCGUAAAAUUGCAGUUGAUACUGUCAGUCUUGAGUACAGUAGAGGUGGGCGGAAUUCGUGGUGUAGCGGUGAAAUGCUUAGAUAUCACGAAGAACUCCGAUUGCGAAGGCAGCUCACUGGACUGCAACUGACACUGAUGCUCGAAAGUGUGGGUAUCAAACAGG